GACGGAGCACGUGAAAUUCCGUCGGAAUCUGGGAGGACCAUCUCCUAAGGCUAAAUACUCUCUAGUGACCGAUAGUGAACCAGUACCGUGAGGGAAAGGUGAAAAGCACCCCGGAAGGGGAGUGAAAUAGAACCUGAAACCGUGUGCUUACAAGUAGUCAGAGCCCGUUAAUGGGUGAUGGCGUGCCUUUUGUAGAAUGAACCGGCGAGUUACGAUUUGAUGCAAGGUUAAGCAGUAAAUGUGGAGCCGUAGCGAAAGCGAGUCUGAAUAGGGCGUUUAGUAUUUGGUCGUAGACCCGAAACCAGGUGAUCUACCCUUGGUCAGGUUGAAGUUCAGGUAACACUGAAUGGAGGACCGAACCGACUUACGUUGAAAAGUGAGCGGAUGAACUGAUGGUAGCGGAGAAAUUCCAAUCGAACCUGGAGAUAGCUGGUUCUCUCCGAAAUAGCUUUAGGGCUAGCCUCAAGUGAUGAUUAUUGGAGGUAGAGCACUGUUUGGACGAGGGGCCCCUCUCGGGUUACCGAAUUCAGACAAACUCCGAAUGCCAAUUAAUUUAACUUGGGAGUCAGAACAUGGGUGAUAAGGUCCGUGUUCGAAAGGGAAACAGCCCAGACCACCAGCUAAGGUCCCAAAAUAUAUGUUAAGUGGAAAAGGAUGUGGCGUUGCCCAGACAACUAGGAUGUUGGCUUAGAAGCAGCCAUCAUUUAAAGAGUGCGUAAUAGCUCACUAGUCGAGU
rnacentral:rRNA from 1 species